UUGGGAAUCUUGGACAAUGGGGGAAACCCUGAUCCAGCCAUGCCGCGUGAGUGAUGAAGGCCUUAGGGUUGUAAAACUCUUUCGGCGGGGACGAUAAUGACGGUACCCGCAGAAGAAGCUCCGGCUAACUUCGUGCCAGCAGCCGCGGUAAUACGAAGGGGGCUAGCGUUGUUCGGAAUUACUGGGCGUAAAGCGCGCGCAGGCGGCCAUUCAAGUCAGGGGUGAAAGCCCGGAGCUCAACUCCGGAAUUGCCCUUGAAACUGGGUGGCUUGAGUACGGGAGAGGUGAGUGGAAUUCCCAGUGUAGAGGUGAAAUUCGUAGAUAUUGGGAAGAACACCGGUGGCGAAGGCGGCUCACUGGCCCGUUACUGACGCUCAGGCGCGACAGCGUGGGGAUCAAACAGGAUUAGAUACCCCGUAGUCC
rnacentral:rRNA from 1 species